rnacentral:lncRNA from 1 species
AAUUUGUUUUAUUGCUUUAUAAAAUCUAAUUUUAAAUGCAUAAGUGCCAAGAAUUUUAAAAGCACACAAAGUUUUAAUUACUAAGUCAGCCCAAAUCCUAAAUCAGUAUGCAAUUUAAGUUGAAGUCAUUAAGUUUCUGUUAGAGAGUUGUAAGGCUAAUUUAUACUUGAGUGCUCGGUGAUGUCUGGACCAUACACAAGCUAAGGCUUUAGAUUCUUCAAAAUACUGUUAAAACUAGUAGUUUCCAAGAAUUGGUCAGAUAAGACCUAAUCACUGAUUCAAAAUCAUCCUAUCUUGCAAGAUUUCGAGAGUUGUGGAUGUUUACUUUAAUACCUCAUGGGCUUUAUCUGUAAUAUUCCAGUUUACUCGAAUUUUUACAACGACGGC